UACGAAGGGUGCAAGCGUUACUCGGAAUUACUGGGCGUAAAGCGUGCGUAGGUGGUGAUUUAAGUCCGUUGUGAAAGCCCUGGGCUCAACCUGGGAAUUGCAGUGGAUACUGGGUCGCUAGAGUGUGGUAGAGGAUAGUGGAAUUUCCGGUGUAGCAGUGAAAUGCGUAGAGAUCGGAAGGAACAUCUGUGGCGAAGGCGACUAUCUGGGCCAACACUGACACUGAGGCACGAAAGCGUGGGGAGCAAACAGG
rnacentral:rRNA from 1 species